GUCCCUUUUGGGAUAUCCGAUAAAAUUGGAACAAUAUGGAGAAGAUUAGCAUGAUUCCUGCACAAGAAUGGUACGCAAAAUCGAGAAAUGGAGUAUGACUCGUAUUU